rnacentral:rRNA from 1 species
GACGUAGGUGGCGAACGUUAUCCGGAAUUAUUGGGCGUAAAGGGUGCGUAGGCGGCAUGAUAAGUUAUUGGCGGCAAAUCGAGGCUCAACCUCGUGGAAACUGAUAAUACUGUCUUGCUUGAGUGCAGAAAGAGGUUAACGGAACUCCAUGUGGAGCGGUAAAAUGUGUAGAUAUAUGGAAGAACAUCAAUAACGGCGAAGGCAGUUAACUAUUCUGUUACUGACGUUUGAGGCACGAAAGCGUGGGGAGCAAAAAAGG